GAUGAACGCUGGCGGCGUGCCUAAUACAUGCAAGUCGAGCGAACAGACGAGGAGCUUGCUCCUCUGACGUUAGCGGCGGACGGGUGAGUAACACGUGGAUAACCUACCUAUAAGACUGGGAUAACUUCGGGAAACCGGAGCUAAUACCGGAUAAUACAUUGAACCGCAUGGUUCAAUAGUGAAAGACGGUUUUGCUGUCACUUAUAGAUGGAUCCGCGCCGCAUUAGCUAGUUGGUAAGGUAACGGCUUACCAAGGCAACGAUGCGUAGCCGACCUGAGAGGGUGAUCGGCCACACUGGAACGGAGACACGGUCCAGACUCCUACGGGAGGCAGCAGUAGGGAAUCUUCCGCAAUGGGCGAAAGCCUGACGGAGCAACGCCGCGUGAGUGAUGAAGGUCUUCGGAUCGUAAAACUCUGUUAUUAGGGAAGAACAAAUGUGUAAGUAACUAUGCACGUCUUGACGGUACCUAAUCAGAAAGCCACGGCUAACUACGUG
rnacentral:rRNA from 1 species